rnacentral:lncRNA from 1 species
CUCAAGGACUGGAGUGGUGCCUUACACCUACCCGGUUUCUUCAGAUCCCCAAACAUCGAAGAGGUAGCCGCUAGGGAUUGACAUUAGACCACCAAGAUCGUGUUCAGUAGGGCAAAAAUAAGAGCUCCGUUUCAAAACAUAUUUUCCUGUUUGGUACCGCCUGAACACAGCCCAGACUACAGUCUAACUCACUGUCCGUGUGUUGCAGGUGUCAGAGACCCAGAUGAUGGUGAUAUCGGAUCAGGGUGUGAAGCCCCUGUAUGUACAGUACCUGAUCCCUGGACAACAUCAACAGCAGGGGGAGAGGGAGACAGAGAGGAGAAACACCCACACUCCCAACACCCUCAUUCCCCACAACAGGUGAGACUAGCUGGGCCUCACCAGGACAUAUCUUAGCCUCUCUGGAUUGAUAGCAACUUUGACCCUGUUUGAAUACUUUAAAACCAUCCCUUCCUUCAUCCAACUGUAUUUAGAUCAGUGACUACCUCAUUAAAGGCAGUAAAGAAGGAUGCAUUUGUAAGUAUUGGAAUAAGGACUGUAUGUGAAGGUAUGACUGUGCCAGUUUGCCAGCUGCUGUGUCAGAAGCACUGACUCCUGAACUUGAGGAGGACAUGAUGCAGAGUGAGGUGAUGCAAGGGGAGGCCCCAGAGCAUGAGACCCAGGGGAACAACAUUAACAUAUCCUAUGAACUACCAGUAGAGGGCGCUAAACUCAACAACAACCUGAUGGCAGUGAAAAGCCUGCCCUUUCCACCCCAGUCCUCCUCCUCUCCCUCUCCUCCAUCUCCUCCUCAACUCACUGACGGAUCCCACUUCAUGUGUGUGUAGACGUGUCGAGGAGGUGGUUCUGUGAACUGAACUACACUCAGUAAGAGACUUCUCUGUCCUUACCUACAACCUUUGACCUUUAUCAAAUCAAAUGUUAUGCGCCGAAUACAACAGGCCUUAUAGUGAAAUGCUUACUUACAAGCCCUAACCAACAAUGCAGUAUAAUAAAAAAAGUAAAAGACAACAACAAAAAAUAAGAAUAACAAAUAAAAGUAACAGAUAAUUAAAUAGCAGCAGUAAAAUAACAAUAGCGAGGCUAUAUACAGGGGGUGCAGGUACAGAGUCGAUGUGCGGGGGCACCGGUUAGUUGAGGUAAUAUGUACUGUAGGUAAAGUUAAUAACUCUACCCAUCAACCCCCUAACCUCAACUUCAGGGUCCAGUGCUCAGCCCUCAGAGAUCUACCCUCCAAUCGACACAGAUCUUACCAGCAGGCAACAUCACACCAGCCAUUUAAACACAGCCAUGAUUUGUCGCCGAAGCAAAAAGCACUGUCUAGUCAUGUCAGCAUAAACAUUUUCUCAACAUUCUUUUGUUGUUGAACAUUGUGGCUUGUGACCUCUGCUAUUUUUGUGUGUGAUCAUCGGUCUCUUCACCACUUCCCUCUCUUUGCACUUAUCCCUGCAGCCCAGACAUUGACCUUGGUGAGCAGUGACUCAUAAGCGU